rnacentral:rRNA from 1 species
GACGAACGCUGGCGGCGUGCCAAAUACAUGAAAGUAGGACGCAGUUGCGAACGGGUGAGUAACGCGUAGGGAACUGCCUAUUAGAGGGGGAUAAAUAUUGGAAACGAUAGCUAAUACCGCAUACUAGUAGAUGGACCUGCGUUGUAUUAGCAAGUAGGUAGGGAACUGGCCUACCUAGGCGACGCUACAUAGCCGACCUGAGAGGGGGAUCGGCCAACCUGGGACUGAGACACGGCCCAGACUCCUACGGGAGGCAGCAGUAGGGAAUCGUCGGCAAUGGGGGGAACCCUGACCGAGCAACGCCGCGUGAGUGAAGAAGGUUUUCGGAUCGUAAAGCUCUGUUGUUAAGGAAGCGGUACUUAACCAGAAAGGGACGGCUAACUACGUGCCAGCCGCCGCGGUAAUUC